GCUUGGUCCGUACUCCUCGUCAUCUAUGGCUUUAGAACAGGGACCAACCGUGUUCCACCUGCACUCUCUCCUUCUUGCUCAAAUUUCCCCACUUGCCAAGAGAAAGUACCAACUCCAAGGCUGACUUUGUUGACAAGGGCAAGAGGUCGUGACCAAGGUG